AUUGAACGCUGGCGGCAGGCUUAACACAUGCAAGUCGAACGAUGAAACUCUAGCUUGCUAGAGAAGAUUAGUGGCGGACGGGUGAGUAACAUUUAGGAAUCUGCCUAGUAGUGGGGGAUAGCUCGGGGAAACUCGAAUUAAUACCGCAUACGACCUACGGGUGAAAGGGGGCGCAAGCUCUUGCUAUUAGAUGAGCCUAAAUCAGAUUAGCUAGUUGGUGGGGUAAAGGCCUACCAAGGCGACGAUCUGUAACUGGUCUGAGAGGAUGAUCAGUCACACCGGAACUGAGACACGGUCCGGACUCCUACGGGAGGCAGCAGUGGGGAAUAUUGGACAAUGGGGGCAACCCUGAUCCAGCCAUGCCGCGUGUGUGAAGAAGGCCUUUUGGUUGUAAAGCACUUUAAGCAGGGAGGAGAGGCUAAUGGUUAAUACCCAUUAGAUUAGACGUUACCUGCAGAAUAAGCACCGGCUAACUCUGUGCCAGCAGCCGCGGUAAUACAGAGGGUGCGAGCGUUAAUCGGAAUUACUGGGCGUAAAGCGAGUGUAGGUGGCUCAUUAAGUCACAUGUGAAAUCCCCGGGCUUAACCUGGGAACUGCAUGUGAUACUGGUGGUGCUAGAAUAUGUGAGAGGGAAGUAGAAUUCCAGGUGUAGCGGUGAAAUGCGUAGAGAUCUGGAGGAAUACCGAUGGCGAAGGCAGCUUCCUGGCAUAAUAUUGACACUGAGAUUCGAGAGCGUGGGUAGCAAACAGGAUUAGAUACCCUGGUAGUCCACGCCGUAAACGAUGUCUACUAGCCGUUGGGGUCCUUGAGACUUUAGUGGCGCGGUUAACGCGAUAAGUAGACCGCCUGGGGAGUACGGCCGCAAGGUUAAAACUCGAAUGAAUUGACGGGGGCCCGCACAAGCGGUGGAGCAUGUGGUUUAAUUCGAUGCAACGCGAAGAACCUUACCUGGUCUUGACAUAGUGAGAAUCCUGCAGAGAUGCGGGAGUGCCUUCGGGAACUCACAUACAGGUGCUGCAUGGCUGUCGUCAGCUCGUGUCGUGAGAUGUUGGGUUAAGUCCCGCAACGAGCGCAACCCUUUUCCUUAUUUGCCAGCGGGUUAAGCCGGGAACUUUAAGGAUACUGCCAGUGACAAACUGGAGGAAGGCGGGGACGACGUCAAGUCAUCAUGGCCCUUACGACCAGGGCUACACACGUGCUACAAUGGUAGGUACAGAGGGUUGCUACACAGCGAUGUGAUGCUAAUCUCAAAAAGCCUAUCGUAGUCCGGAUUGGAGUCUGCAACUCGACUCCAUGAAGUCGGAAUCGCUAGUAAUCGCAGAUCAGAAUGCUGCGGUGAAUACGUUCCCGGGCCU
rnacentral:rRNA from 1 species